rnacentral:rRNA from 1 species
UCGUCACACUAUCAUUAACUGAAUCCAUAGGUUAAUGAGGCGAACCGGGGGAACUGAAACAUCUAAGUACCCCGAGGAAAAGAAAUCAACCGAGAUUCCCCCAGUAGCGGCGAGCGAACGGGGAGGAGCCCAGAGCCUGAAUCAGCAUGUGUGUUAGUGGAAGCGUCUGGAAAGGCGCGCGAUACAGGGUGACAGCCCCGUACACAAAAGCGCAUGUGCUGUGAGCUCGAUGAGUAGGGCGGGACACGUGGUAUCCUGUCUGAAUAUGGGGGGACCAUCCUCCAAGGCUAAAUACUCCUGACUGACCGAUAGUGAACCAGUACCGUGAGGGAAAGGCGAAAAGAACCCCGGCGAGGGGAGUGAAAAAGAACCUGAAACCGUGUACGUACAAGCAGUGGGAGCNNAUAGGGGAGCCGGAGGGAAACCGAGUCUUAAUUGGGCGUUAAGUUGCAGGGUAUAGACCCGAAACCCGGUGAUCUAGCCAUGGGCAGGUUGAAGGUUGGGUAACACUAACUGGAGGACCGAACCGACUAAUGUUGAAAAAUUAGCGGAUGACCUGUGGCUGGGGGUGAAAGGCCAAUCAAACCGGGAGAUAGCUGGUUCUCCCCGAAAGCUAUUUAGGUAGCGCCUCGUGAAUUCAUCUCCGGGGGUAGAGCACUGUUUCGGCUAGGGGGCCAUCCCGGCUUACCAACCCGAUGCAAACUGCGAAUACCGGAGAAUGUUAUCACGGGAGACACACGGCGGGUGCUAACGUCCGUCGUGAAGAGGGAAACAACCCAGACCGCCAGCUAAGGUCCCAAAGUCAUGGUUAAGUGGGAAACGAUGUGGGAAGGCCCAGACAGCCAGGAUGUUGGCUUAGAAGCAGCCAUCAUUUAAAGAAAGCGUAAUAGCUCACUGGUCGAGUCGGCCUGCGCGGAAGAUGUAACGGGGCUAAACCAUGCACCGAAGCUGCGGCAGCGANNUGCUGGAGGUAUCAGAAGUGCGAAUGCUGACAUAAGUAACGAUAAAGCGGGUGAAAAGCCCGCUCGCCGGAAGACCAAGGGUUCCUGUCCAACGUUAAUCGGGGCAGGGUGAGUCGACCCCUAAGGCGAGGCCGAAAGGCGUAGUCGAUGGGAAACGGGUUAAUAUUCCCGUACUUGGUGUUACUGCGAAGGGGGGACGGAGAAGGCUAUGUUGGCCGGGCGACGGUUGUCCCGGUUUAAGCGUGUAGGUGUGUGUUCCAGGUAAAUCCGGUUCACUUUAACACUGAGGCGUGACGACGAGGCACUACGGUGCUGAAGCAACAAAUGCCCUGCUUCCAGGAAAAGCCUCUAAGCAUCAGGUAACAUCAAAUCGUACCCCAAACCGACACAGGUGGUCAGGUAGAGAAUACCAAGGCGCUUGAGAGAACUCGGGUGAAGGAACUAGGCAAAAUGGUGCCGUAACUUCGGGAGAAGGCACGCUGACACGUAGGUGAAGUGAUUUACUCAUGGAGCUGAAGUCAGUCGAAGAUACCAGCUGGCUGCAACUGUUUAUUAAAAACACAGCACUGUGCAAACACGAAAGUGGACGUAUACGGUGUGACGCCUGCCCGGUGCCGGAAGGUUAAUUGAUGGGGUCAGCGCAAGCGAAGCUCCUGAUCGAAGCCCCGGUAAACGGCGGCCGUAACUAUAACGGUCCUAAGGUAGCGAAAUUCCUUGUCGGGUAAGUUCCGACCUGCACGAAUGGCGUAAUGAUGGCCAGGCUGUCUCCACCCGAGACUCAGUGAAAUUGAACUCGCUGUGAAGAUGCAGUGUACCCGCGGCAAGACGGAAAGACCCCGUGAACCUUUACUAUAGCUUGACACUGAACAUUGAGCCUUGAUGUGUAGGAUAGGUGGGAGGCUUUGAAGUGUGGACGCCAGUCUGCAUGGAGCCGACCUUGAAAUACCACCCUUUAAUGUUUGAUGUUCUAACGUGGACCCGUAAUCCGGGUUGCGGACAGUGUCUGGUGGGUAGUUUGACUGGGGCGGUCUCCUCCUAAAGAGUAACGGAGGAGCACGAAGGUUGGCUAAUCCUGGUCGGACAUCAGGAGGUUAGUGCAAUGGCAUAAGCCAGCUUGACUGCGAGCGUGACGGCGCGAGCAGGUGCGAAAGCAGGUCAUAGUGAUCCGGUGGUUCUGAAUGGAAGGGCCAUCGCUCAACGGAUAAAAGGUACUCCGGGGAUAACAGGCUGAUACCGCCCAAGAGUUCAUAUCGACGGCGGUGUUUGGCACCUCGAUGUCGGCUCAUCACAUCCUGGGGCUGAAGUAGGUCCCAAGGGUAUGGCUGUUCGCCAUUUAAAGUGGUACGCGAGCUGGGUUUAGAACGUCGUGAGACAGUUCGGUCCCUAUCUGCCGUGGGCGCUGGAGAACUGAGGGGGGCUGCUCCUAGUACGAGAGGACCGGAGUGGACGCAUCACUGGUGUUCGGGUUGUCAUGCCAAUGGCACUGCCCGGUAGCUAAAUGCGGAAGAGAUAAGUGCUGAAAGCAUCUAAGCACGAAACUUGCCCCGAGAUGAGUUCUCCCUGAGACUUAGAGUCUCCUGAAGGAACGUUGAAGACGACGACGUUGAUAGGCCGGGUGUGUAAGCGCAGCGAUGCGUUGAGCUAACCGGUACUAAUGAACCGUGAGGCUUAACCUUACAACGCCGAAG